rnacentral:lncRNA from 1 species
CUACCUUCCCCAGCCGCCUACUCACCCACUCUGGCUGUGGAAGGCAGUGGAUGGAGUCAGUCCUCGGUUGCCACCCUGGCCUACCUUCAGGCCAAUGUUUGUUGUUCUCACUCAGCAGUACAUUCUUUAACAUUGUCACUAAUUUGUUUUUUCAUAAUUCCCCUGGGACACAUAGUAGCAUUUCAAAGAAAGAUCUUGAAAGAACCUGGUUCUGUCUUAAUAGCUCCUUCUCAACAGUCUCCCCACACACCUUACAUAUGUACUUAGCUCAUGUCUUGGAACGCAAGGCUGAAAAACUAGGAGCAAUUUUCCUUGUAGCUUUUCUUAGGUUAAGGCUUUGGUCUCCCUGACCUGAGAGUAACUAUAAAGCGGAAGGUAAGAUCCACAAAGAGAUUCCUUUGGAAGUUUUGGAAAAUCUCCACGUACCGAGACUUCUUUUGUCAAGUGCAAAAGUACAAAAAGAUAUAUUCCAAAGCCUACCAAAGGAAAUUUGGGGAUUCUGGUCAGUUUGUAUGGUUUGCUUUAUUUCCUUUGUUUCAGUGGAUUAUUGAGAAUUGGCUCUUUCUGAGUGAGUCAUUAUGGGUUAUAUAGAUCAGAUCUUUUAACGUGUGGGAGGCUAUGAAAAUAUUGGAAUUUCAAUGUAGUGAUUUAAGAAAUUACUCCUCUGGUAAUCCUAGGUAAAGGGGCACCAGUCCUAUCCUGAGAAAUCCUCACACGAUAUUCAUAUGCCUGCCUGCCUGCCUGCCUUCUUUAUUUUUCUCUUUUUCCUUCUCUCUCCCCCCUCCCUCCCUUCCUCCCUCCCUCUCUGUCUCUGUCACACUUACACACAGAGUCACCAGAAUGUAGAGUUCCCCAGGAGGCAUAAACAAGGAUCCUCUGGGUAACUUCAAUUGUUGAGGACAAAACAGAAAGCAAAAAUUAGUGUGUGACCUUUCAAUUCUCCUGCUGAAAGUAGUACAGAACAGGACCUUGCACCUGGCGAUGCUUUUCUUAGGCUCACUUCCUCUGUUACCUCAUUGUAUCCUCACAACAGCACUGGAAGGUAGGAAGGGUAGCUACUACAGUCACUUGCUGAUGAUAACUUAAGAGGUCUGCGACUUGCUGAGGUCACGCAACCUUCCGCGAUGCCACUUCCCUGCAUGCAGCAGUGGCAAUGUGGCAGGUGGGGGCAGGAGACUGAAGUCUCCAGGUGACAUUCUGUUUCUCCUGGUACCUGUGGGGUGCCCUGGGUCAGCAAGAGGUGUUUUUUUCCUUCUUCUUUUUCUUAUCGGAACUGGCAACUGGCAUAUGGGAACCGAGCAAGUGCCAAGUUCCAGGUUCUUUGUGCUAACGAGAUGAAGUGCCCAGAGCCUGGUGGCUCUCUUCUUGUCAGUUACCUGCUAUAACUGGUUUGAUUUUUAUAAUGAGUCAGAGCUCCCUCAGAGGGUACAGUGCUCUGUGCUUAGGUCUUUAAUUAGUAGCAGGCUGUCUCAACCUGACUGGAAGCAGUGAAAGCCUCCCACAAGUUAAGAGGUAGGUCACUCUCAACACACACCCAGAGCCACCACUAGAGCCACCAGGUGAGCUGUGCAUCCUGCAGCCAAGCCCCCUCCCCCCACCCCCACCCCCAGGUACCUUCUGAGGCCUGUCCCUGGGCAAGCCAUAUACAAGUCAGUGUGUUUGAACAUUACAGUGUGUGCAUGCUGCCAGUGUUUACUUCGGAGCUAGGAGGUGUGCUAUGUGCAUGCAUGUUAGAGAGGCUCUGUGUAUUGCUGUGGCCUCUGUUCAUGGAUAAGUGCAUUGUGAUUCCUUCUCAGGCUGUGCUGUGAGGACCGCCUUAACCCCUGCUCCCUUCCCUCUGAGAGCUGCCUUAAGUUCUCUGGAACUUUUCCUCUGUAAGGGACUGACUUACCUGGAGAGGAUAAUCUUGCUGUGUUUCUCAAGGUUUUGUGAGGGUUUUGGUUGGGUGUGGCCUCCAACCACUAUUCCCUUCUUCCCUUCCUGCAUGACUCUCUCCUUCUGUGACUUUGCCUUCCUUUCUUUUCUGUUAUUUCCAAACAGGUAAUAGAACUCAGGCAGCACCAGUCUCAGAGCCAGUGAAUGCGCGCUGAGAGACUGUUCCUGAAUUUGGGGGGCUUUGUGUCACAAGUAAGCAAAUGAACAUAUAGAAGAAAGAGAUAAGUUAGCUUCUUAGUAAUGCUUAAAUGGCUUGUUUUCUCUGAUCUUUUUCUUAAUACAGGUAAAGGGUACAACUGUAAAACCUUCCAUAGACAUGCUUUAGAAUGUUUUUUAGGAACCCUGUACUGUACUAUAUAUAAAAGUUUGAAUGAAAACUGGGAAGAGUUCUGUAAGUUCUAAUCCAUUGUAUUACCCUAAAUUAAAUCAACCUGGAGUUAUAUUCAGCAGAUUUCUCAAUAGAUCAGGAACUGAAAGGUACUCUGUAAAAUAGCUGUCAAAUGCAUUUUAUAUGUUUUUUAAUUUUAUAAUUUGGUCUAGCGAAAAUGUUCGUUAGCUUAACUGAAUGAAUGUCUUUAGCUUCCUAAAAUGAAGGAAAAUGACUAAUGUUUCCUUAGUAUUGUGAUACAGCUUGAAAUAUUUGAAAGAAAAAUGUUUUUCAAGUGGAAACUGGUAUGUAUAAUUAAAUGCUUGGUAGGUCAGUACAUUUUCAUGCAUUUUUCAGCUAACAGUUUCAAAUAUCUUAUUGUUACCAUAUGUUAGAAAAGUUUAGCCUACAUUUCAGGCUCUCUAAAUCACUUGAGUCAUUUAAUAUUUUCCAACAAAUGGUGAAUUUUUCUCUUAAAUGUGGGAUAUGUGUGUUGUAAUUUAUGAUUCCUAGUUAUGUAUUUUUGUGGACUCCUGGAGUAAUGUUCACUUUUUUGUGUCCUUGGAAAAUUUAAAUUGCUCUAACAAUGUUACACAGAAAUGAGCUCAUGACAUUUAACAUACUGUAUUUUAAUUGUUAACUUUAAUUAUUAAGUUACUGUGAAACAGAUAUGCCAUUUAACUACAGUGAAACUGAAAAUUGCAGGUUUUCAAAUAUUUUUCCUUGUUGGAUCUGGAAAAGGAAUUCUAUUUUGUUCUACACAGAAAAACAUGAUACAGUUAAUCUUUGAAAAGUUCUUAGGUAACAUAUUCAUCCAUUAGAAAAGAAGCAGAAAUACUGAGAAGUGAAAGAUAUUAUCAGUCAACUCUGGUUUUAAACUGAAACCAUCCCAGCAUAUCUCACAUGGAAUUUUAAAAAAUAAGUUAAUAAUUCAGCUCCUGUCAACAAGAGCCUUUGAAACAUGCAUUUUCACUAGUUGUUAUCUAGUGCUAGGAUGAAAACCAAAACAAUAUCAGAUCGACAUUUACGCUCUAAAUUUGUAGCUGUCUAAUGUUGUCCUUAGUAAAUGUGUGUCAUUAAUGCUGUAUUCUCCUAGCUAUUAUAGAAAAUUGUUCAAAUAAAGAUAUG